UAAACUCCAAACAGGCUCAUAUGCAGAAAAUAACAAAUGUAACUCCCUUGCAUCACUAAAAAAAUGCUAAGAAUACCGAAUAAACUUUUGGGGAAACCAUCGUUGGCCGGUUGUUCGCCUGCUUGGGUUUGCCGGAAAGAUAGGGACGAGGCGGCGGGAGCGGAAAGGGUAGAAAGUUACGGGAGGAUCCUAUGUGAACAUGUUACAGAGUAUCCAGAUUCAAAAUACGCCACUAGAGAAUCGGGGAAGUCAUCCAUGAUCCUCGAUCAAUAGGAGGAGGAGCUGUCUCUGGGAAGGAUGGGCAAAGUUUGAUAGGAUGAUUAAUCAACCCACAACCAUAGGAUACUUUGGGAAGCCUGUCAUAUUGGAAGCGAACGCACGGGCUUUUUCCAGGUUCGCCAUCGAAGUUCCGAGUUCUUGUUCCAUCCUUUAGCUCUCAGCGGCCAAGAAAGGACCUCUUCAACAUUGAUACACACAAAGCAAUGAGCAUAUUAGUCAUUAGAUCAUGUGCGAUCAAAGAUGUCCGCAUCCAGGACCUUCUCCAAGAUGGAAUAGAGACCGACAACAAUAUACGUGGAUAGGAAAUGAUUCGGGAGGUGAUGCAGGCAAACCCAGAAGUCAACGAACCGGAGCUUCGAGCAAAUGGAGGCCAAUGGUGUUUCCCAUGGGAAAACACUGAUUAAAUUAGUGUCAAAAGCCAAAGGCCGUUGGUCAAGAACCUUCUGAGCUUUCGCUGGAUCAGAGAAGAAGAACUCGAACAAGUUAUGUUCUUUCGGGAAGAUACAAAGUGAUCCGUGGAGAUGCCAUUUGUUGGCUAGCGUUUUCUGAACUAGCCGAAGAGAGCGUCCUUCCGGCCAGAAGAUACGGGCAAGAAGGCAUUGCUUCUUCUGCCAAUCAGUAGCGACAAGAAAAUGAAGCCAUAUAAUCGUUGGCGGUUAAAACAAAUACAGAGGUA
rnacentral:lncRNA from 1 species